rnacentral:rRNA from 1 species
UACGGAGGGUGCAAGCGUUAUCCGGAUUUACUGGGUUUAAAGGGUGUGUAGGCGGGCUUUUAAGUCAGUGGUGAAAUCUCCGGGCUCAACCCGGAAACUGCCAUUGAUACUAUUAGUCUUGAAUUUUGUUGAGGUAGGCGGAAUAAGUCAUGUAGCGGUGAAAUGCAUAGAUAAUGACAUAGAACACCAAAUUGCGAAAGGCAGCCUAGGUCUAACAC